rnacentral:rRNA from 1 species
AGACGUCUACAUUAGAUACCCGUGUAGUCCCAGCCGUAAACGAUGCGCGUUAGGUGUAUCGACGACCACGAGUCGUCGAGGUGCCGAAGGGAAACCGUGAAACGUGCCGCCUGGGAAGUACGGUCGCAAGGCUGAAACUUAAAGGAAUUGGCGGGGAGCACCACAACGGGUGGAGCCUGCGGUUUAAUUGGACUCAACGCCGGGAAGCUCACCGGAUAAGACAGCGGAAUGAUUGCCGGGCUGAAGACUCUGCAUGACUAGCUG